rnacentral:rRNA from 1 species
CAAUAGCGUAUAUUUAAGUUGUUGCAGUUAAAAAGCUCGUAGUCGGAUUUUGGCUGAGAACGAACGGUCCGCCGUUAGGUGUGCACUGUUUGGUCUCAGCUUCCUGGUGAGGAGGUGUGCUUCACGGCCACUUAGUCACCGUGGUUACUUUGAAAAAAUUAGAGUGUUCAAAGCGGGCUUACGCUUGAAUAUAUUAGCAUGGAAUAACACCAUAGGACUCCUGUCCUAUUUCGUUGGUCUCGGGACGGGAGUAAUGAUUAAGAGGAACAGUUGGGGGCAUUCGUAUUUCAUUGUCAGAGGUGAAAUUCUUGGAUUUAUGAAAGACGAACUUCUGCUAAAGCAUUUGCCAAGGAUGUUUUCAUUG